rfam:TPA: Bos taurus chromosome 7, whole genome shotgun sequence.
CCAAAGGCUCUUUUCAGAGCCACCCACAGUGUCUAGAAAAGAGCCG